ensembl:lncRNA
AUGACUGCAUGGAGCGCCGUUACCUUCCUGCGGAAGCGGUACCUAUUGAUCUACUCACAUUGGCAUGUUUUCGAACUGCUAGGUUGGCAGGAGCUGGAGCAACAGCUGGCGCUCACUCUGCUCCCGGGAUUUGAACCUGGGAACUUUCAGUCUGCAAGUUCAGCAGCUCAGUGCUUUAACACACUUCACCACCGGAGCUCCUUUUCUAAGUCUACACUGCCAUAUAAUCCAGUUAAAAGCAAAUAUUCUGGGUUAUAUGGCUGUGUGGAAGGGCUCUCAAACCGCAUUAAUUUUUUUCCCGUGGCUUAAGCCACAACGAUCAGCAGCUACUCUCAGGCCCUUUCUAAACAGUCCUUAUAUUCCAGGAUUUGGUCCCAAGGCCCUUCCACAGAGUCAUAUAACCUAGAACAUAAUGGCAGAAGAUCCCACAAUAUCUGCUUUGAACUGGGUUAUCUGAGUCCACACUGCCAGAUAUUCCAUUUCAAAGCGAAUAAUAUUUAACUGUGUGGAAGGGGCCUCAGAUUAUCUGCUUAUUGAAGAUGAUAUGGCAGUGGAGACUCAAGGCCCUUUCACACAGUCAUAGAAUCAUAGAGUUGGAAGAGACCUCUUGGGCCAUCCUGUCCAACCCCCUGCAGGAAAAUUGCAUUCAAAGCACCCCCGAUAGAUGGCCAUCCAGCCUCUGUUUAAAAGCUUCCAAACGAGCCUCCACCACACUCCGGGGCAGAGUUCCACCGCUGAACAGCUCUCACGGUGAGAAAGUUCUUCCUAAUGUUCAGGUGGCAUCUCCUUUCCUGUAGUUUAAAGCCAUUGUUCUGCAUCCUAGUCUCCAGGGCAGCAGAAAACAAGCUUGCUCCCUCCUCCCCUCACAUCUUGAUACAUGGCCCUUAUCAUGUCUCCUCUCAGCCUUCUCUUCUGCAGGCUAAACAUGUCCACCUCUUGAAGCAUCUCCUCACAGGGCUUGUUCUCCACACCCAAGUAACCCAGAAUAUCAUGGCAUAAAAUCCACAAUAUUUGCUUUGAACUGGAAUAUCUGAGUCUACGCUGGCACAUAAUUCAGUUCAAUGUGGAUUUUAUACAGCUGUGUGGAAGGGACCUCAUAUAAUACAGUUCAAAUUUGGAAUCAGAUUCUGGGAUAUAAGGACAAUUUAGAAGGGGCAUCAAAGGCCCCUUCCACACAGCUGAAUAAAAUCCCACAUUAUUUGCUUUGAACUGGGAUAUGUGGUAGUGUGGACUCAGAUAACCCAGUUUAAAACAGAUGUUGUGGGGUUUUCUGCCUUGAUAUUAUUUAUUUACCCUGCCUUUCUCACCCCAGAGGGGACUCAAGGUGGCUUCACAAUAAUGGUGGUGAUAAUUCAAUGCCCUUAAAAAACAAAGUACACAAGCAGUCAUUUAAAUAAUAAAACAUUAAAAUACAAUUAAAACAAUUAACAUUUAACUCUGACAAGAGUAAAUCACGUAAAUCAUAUUCUGGGUUAUGUGGCUGUGAAGAAGAGCACCCAGAAUAUCAAGGCGGAAUAACCCACAAUAUUUGCUUUGAACUGGGUUAUCUGCCAUAU